rnacentral:snoRNA from 1 species
CCUGGUCAUAUGAUGAAUCAUUUCGGAUGUAAACACAGACCUGUUCUGAAUGCGCAAAUCCUUGUUGAUAUUUCCGUUGCCUUCCUUCUGAUGACCUCAA